rnacentral:lncRNA from 10 species
GUUCUAAAUGUCUUCCUUGACAUUUUAACAAGUGUCAGAAUAAUUUUUCUUUAGCAACAAGGAGGAAUCUGUCUCAAAAACUAAAGCUCCUUCCACACGCCUGUAAGGCUUAAUUGGUGCAUACAUCUUUUAACUCUCCUGUAGCUAAAUAACAUGUCUGGCUUAUCCACUGCUGGGGUUUACCAGGCAUUAUGAUGUACAUAAUCCAGACACUGUGUCCCAAGAACAUAGCAAGCUGGCUUUCCCUCCUUGAUUUAAAAAAAUCAAAACAACACAACUAUCAGGGUAACAUCCACUACAUUUGACAGGUCAAAGAAUCCCCUUCCUUAAGGACUUUACAAUAACCUUACAGGGGGCUAAAGCAUACAUACCCAUGGGUAGUGGGUAAGCCUUGAGAGUACAGUAUAAGUCUUGAUAACAUUUUGAGGUUGAUAACUAGUUGAAACUGAUCUGUUUUCCCGACCUCAACGUAAUUGCAAGGUCACUUCAAGAGGGUAAGGGGCUAUUGCAACUACCCAAAUUCGCUAUUGUAGUAUAAAAGCUUUAAUUAACAGCAUGUAUAGGAAUGCAAAGCUAUGUUCUAAUGAAACUUUAAAAAGCAGACACAAAUAUGAAUGUCAUAUAAUUGUCAUCUGUCGCAAAACUUUUUUUUUAACCUUUGAAAAAUGUGAAACCCAUUUUUAGCUCCUAGUACAGCAGAACCUGCGGUGGGCUGGAUUUGCCCUGAGGGCUGUAGUUUGCCCCUGUGGUACGUAUGAAAUGCCACAAUUUUAAAAAGAUGUGUUACGUGUGGGACCAUUUGUGGGGCGGUUUAUGCUAACUUCCAAUACAGUAAUAUAUGUCAACUCGCUUUUGAGUGACAUUUAGUCUGGGUGGCCAUGCCCAGGAAUGGAUAUAGAGAAAGGGGCGCGGCCGCGCCGGGCACCACCCUCCAAGAGACUGGUAUCGCAGCCCCCAGCUCCAAGGAACUCAGCGCAGGCAGGGGCUUCAGGGACGCGGAGAGGGAGGCUUAUCUCUGCUGAAAGGGAAUAGCGGCCCGCAAACAAGCAAACCAGGACACUGCUCCGAGGUCCCGCCCAGGAAGGCAAAACGAAGUCCCACCGCUCUCACACCCGGCAACCAACCAAGGCACA